GGGAUUGCCCUAGUAACGGCGAGUGAAGCGGCAACAGCUCAAAUUUGAAAUCUGGCGUAAGCCCGAGUUGUAAUUUGUAGAGGAUGCUUCUGGGUAGCGGCCGGUCUAAGUUCCUUGGAACAGGACGUCAUAGAGGGUGAGAAUCCCGUAUGUGACUGGCUUGCACCCUCCACGUAGCUCCUUCGACGAGUCGAGUUGUUUGGGAAUGCAGCUCUAAAUGGGAGGUAAAUUUCUUCUAAAGCUAAAUACCGGCCAGAGACCGAUAGCGCACAAGUAGAGUGAUCGAAAGAUGAAAAGCACUUUGGAAAGAGAGUUAAAAAGCACGUGAAAUUGUUGAAAGGGAAGCGCCCGCAACCAGACUUUGCGGCGGUGUUCGGCCGGUCUUCUGACCGGUUUACUCGCCGCCGUGAGGCCAUCAUCGUCUGGGACCGCUGGAUAAGACCUGAGGAAUGUAGCUCCCUUCGGGGUGUGUUAUAGCCUCUGGUGAUGCAGCGCGUCUCGGGCGAGGUCCGCGCUUCGGCAAGGAUGAUGGCGUAAUGGUUGUCGGCGGCCCGUCUUGAAACACGGACCAAGGAGUCUAACAUCUAUGCGAGUGUUCGGGUGUCAAACCCCUACGCGUAAUGAAAGUGAACGGAGGUGGGAACUUUUUGUGCACCAUCGACCGAUCCUGAUGUCCUCGGAUGGAUUUGAGUAAGAGCAUAGCUGUUGGGACCCGAAAGAUGGUGAACUAUGCCUGAAUAGGGUGAAGCCAGAGGAAACUCUGGUGGAGGCUCGCAGCGGUUCUGACGUGCAAAUCGAUCGUCAAAUUUGGGUAUAGGGGCG
rnacentral:rRNA from 1 species